rnacentral:rRNA from 1 species
AACGAACGCUGGCGGCAGGCCUAACACAUGCAAGUCGAGCGAAGCCUUCGGGUUUAGCGGCGGACGGGUGAGUAACGCGUGGGAAUGUGCCCUUUGGUACGGAAUAGCCCCGGGAAACUGGGAGUAAUACCGUAUGUGGUCGAGAGACGAAAGAUUUAUCGCCAAAGGAUCGGCCCGCGUUGAAUUAGGUUGUUGGUGGGGUAAUGGCCUACCAAGCCGACGAUGCAUAGCCGGGUUGAGAGGAUGAUCAGCCACACUGGGACUGAGACACGGCCCAGACUCCUACGGGAGGCAGCAGUGGGGAAUCUUAGACAAUGGGGGAAACCCUGAUCUAGCCAUGCCGCGUGAGCGAUGAAGGCCUUAGGGUUGUAAUGCUCUUUCAGUGGGGAAGAUAAUGACUGUACCCACAGAAGAAGCCCCGGCUAACUCCGUGCCAGCCGCCGCGGUAAGAC